rnacentral:rRNA from 1 species
GUGGGGAAUAUUGGACAAUGGGCGAAAGCCUGAUCCAGCCAUGCCGCGUGUGUGAAGAAGGUCUUCGGAUUGUAAAGCACUUUAAGUUGGGAGGAAGGGCAGUAAGUUAAUACCUUGCUGUUUUGACGUUACCGACAGAAUAAGCACCGGCUAACUUCGUGCCAGCAGCCGCGGUAAUACGAAGGGUGCAAGCGUUAAUCGGAAUUACUGGGCGUAAAGCGCGCGUAGGUGGUUUUGUAAGUUGGAGGUGAAAUCCCCGGGCUCAACCUGGGAACUGCCUCCAAAACUACUGAGCUAGAGUACGGUAGAGGGUAGUGGAAUUUCCUGUGUAGCGGUGAAAUGCGUAGAUAUAGGAAGGAACACCAGUGGCGAAGGCGACUACCUGGACUGAUACUGACACUGAGGUGCGAAAGCGUGGGGAGCAAACAGGAUUAGAAACCCGAGUAGUCC